rnacentral:rRNA from 1 species
CAAUAGCGUAUAUUUAAGUUGUUGCAGUUAAAAAGCUCGUAGUUGGAUUUCGGUUAAGAGCGACCGGUCCGCCGUUUGGUGUGCACUGGUUGGUUUUAACUUCCUGUAGAGGACGUGCUCUGGGUUUAACGACCUGGACUCGGAGUCUACGUGGUUACUUUGAAAAAAUUAGAGUGUUCAAAGCGGGCUUACGCUUGAAUAUUUCAGCAUGGAAUAACACUAUAGGACUCCUGUCCUAUUUCGUUGGUCUCGGGACGGGAGUAAUGAUUAAGAGGAACAGUUGAGGGCAUUCGUAUUUCAUUGUCAGAGGUGAAAUUCUUGGAUUUAUGAAAGACGAACUUCUGCGAAAGCAUUUGCCAAGGAUGUUUUCAUUAA